CAUCGUGAGUUGGAAUCUGAAGGAAGCUGGCGGCAAACAUCUGGUUUGACGAAAGGAAACUUGAUACAAGGCUGGUGGGUAUGGAUGAGAUUACAAAACAAAUCAAAUCAAAGGCUGAUAGCUAUACGGAAAGUAAGAGUCAGUAGAUUUU
rnacentral:ncRNA from 1 species